rnacentral:rRNA from 1 species
GCUGUUCGCCCAUUAAAGCGGCACGCGAGCUGGGUUUAGAACGUCGUGAGACAGUUCGGUCCCUAUCCGCCGUGGGCGCAGGAGAUUUGAGAGGAUCUGUCCCUAGUACGAGAGGACCGGGAUGGACGAACCAAUGGUGGACCGGUUGUUGCGCCAGCAGCAUAGCCGGGUAGCUAAGUUCGGAUCGGAUAACCGCUGAAAGCAUCUAAGCGGGAAGCCCCUUCCAAGAUGAGAUCUCCCUGGACCCUUGAGGUCCCUGAAGAGCCGUUCAAGACCAGGACGUUGAUAGGUCGGGUGUGUAAGCGCUGCGAGGCGUUGAGCUAACCGAUACUAAUUGCUCGU